UACGUAGGUGGCAAGCGUUACUCGGAAUCACUAGGCGUAAAGCGCAGGUAGGCGGUUCGGUAAGUCUUUUGUGAAAGCUCCUGGCUCAACUGGGAGAGGCCAAGGGAAACUACCGGGCUAGAGUGUGGUAGGGGAUACUGGAAUUCCCGGUGUAGCGGUGAAAUGCGUAGAUAUCGGGAGGAAUACCUAUGGCGAAAGCAGGUAUCUGGGCCAUCACUGACGCUGAGCUGCGAAAGCUAGGGGAG
rnacentral:rRNA from 1 species